GUUUUAAAAAACAUAGCCCAAAGAUUUAUUUUGGGUAAAUUCUGCCCAGCGUAAUUUAUUAGCGGCCGCAGUACUUUGACUGUGCUAAGGUAGCAUAAUCAAUUGGCUUUUAAUUGUAGUCUGGAAUGAAAGGACUAAUAGGGGUUAGCUGUCUCUAUACUAUUAUUUUGAAUUUAUUUAUUAAGUGAAAAUACUUAUACAAAGAAAAAAGACGAGAAGACCCUUAGAAUUUUAAUAAAAUAUUUAAUAAUUUUUUUUUGUUGGGGCGACAUUGAAACAAUUAAACUUUCAUUAACAAUCAAGACAUUUAGGUUUGAAAGAAUAAAUUACCUUAGGGAUAACAGCAUAAUUAAUUAUUUAGUUUGUGACCUCGAUGUUGGACUAGGAACUAGAAGAUUAACCGUCUAAAUAGAUGUCGUCGA
rnacentral:rRNA from 1 species